AUCCAGCUGACGAGUCUGAAAUAGGACGAAAUGCGCAUCCUGGAA
rnacentral:hammerhead_ribozyme from 1 species